rnacentral:rRNA from 1 species
GAGUGAGAAUACGCGCUAAACUUAAGCAUAUCAGUCAGCGCAGCGUAAUAAUAGAAACUAACCAGGAUUCCCUUAGUAACGGCGAGUGAACUGGGAUACCAAUAUUACCAAUACGUACUUCGGUGCGUAUAAUUUAGCCCGUCGAUACUAUCCUAGCACAGUACUGGUCUCGGCCGGUAAUUAACUGUGCGGGAAUUGUAGCAUCGUAAUACAACGUACAUUAUAUACUGUAUGCGCACCACACACAUAUAUACCCCUCUGCGUAUCUGUACUUGUAAACACACAGCGCUCCCGCGUUGGAAAGCAAGUUUAUAUCCUCUUUGGAUAUGCCAUAGAGUGUGACAGCCACGUUUUAACUCUUACGCGCACAGUACGCCCCGCCAUACACACACACACGUAUAUAUGUAUAUAACCUGAGUCGAGUUAUUUGGGACUAUAGCUCUAAUAGUUUGGUUGGUGGUAAUGACACAUCAAAGGCUAAAUAUUGGUUAGUCGAUGCAAUAUCUACGGAGACCGAUAGCAUACAAGUACCGUAAGGGAACGAUGAAAAGCACCCUAUUGAGUUCACGGC